rnacentral:rRNA from 1 species
AGUCGAGCGAACAGAUAAGGAGCUUGCUCCUUUGACGUUAGCGGCGGACGGGUGAGUAACACGUGGAUAACCUACCUAUAAGACUGGGAUAACUUCGGGAAACCGGAGCUAAUACCGGAUAACAUAUUGAACCGCAUGGUUCAAUAGUGAAAGGCGGCUUUGCUGUCACUUAUAGAUGGAUCCGCGCCGUAUUAGCUAGUUGGUAAGGUAACGGCUUACCAAGGCAACGAUACGUAGCCGACCUGAGAGGGUGAUCGGCCACACUGGAACUGAGACACGGUCCAGACUCCUACGGGAGGCAGCAGUAGGGAAUCUUCCGCAAUGGGCGAAAGCCUGACGGAGCAACGCCGCGUGAGUGAUGAAGGUCUUCGGAUCGUAAAACUCUGUUAUCAGGGAAGAACAAAUGUGUAAGUAACUGUGCACAUCUUGACGGUACCUGAUCAGAAAGCCACGGCUAACUACGUGCCAGCAGCCGCGGUAAUACGUAGGUGGCAAGCGUUAUCCGGAAUUAUUGGGCGUAAAGCGCGCGUAGGCGGUUUUUUAAGUCUGAUGUGAAAGCCCACGGCUCAACCGUGGAGGGUCAUUGGAAACUGGAAAACUUGAGUGCAGAAGAGGAAAGUGGAAUUCCAUGUGUAGCGGUGAAAUGCGCAGAGAUAUGGAGGAACACCAGUGGCGAAGGCGACUUUCUGGUCUGUAACUGACGCUGAUGUGCGAAAGCGUGGGGAUCAAACAGGAUUAGAUACCCUGGUAGUCCACGCCGUAAACGAUGAGUGCUAAGUGUUAGGGGGUUUCCGCCCCUUAGUGCUGCAGCUAACGCAUUAAGCACUCCGCCUGGGGAGUACGACCGCAAGGUUGAAACUCAAAGGAAUUGACGGGGACCCGCACAAGCGGUGGAGCAUGUGGUUUAAUUCGAAGCAACGCGAAGAACCUUACCAAAUCUUGACAUCCUUUGACUGCUCUAGAGAUAGAGUCUUCCCCUUCGGGGGACAAAGUGACAGGUGGUGCAUGGUUGUCGUCAGCUCGUGUCGUGAGAUGUUGGGUUAAGUCCCGCAACGAGCGCAACCCUUAAGCUUAGUUGCCAUCAUUAAGUU